rnacentral:rRNA from 1 species
AUUAGGUAGUUGGUAGGGUAAUGGCCUACCAAGCCGACGAUCAGUAGGGGUUCUGAGAGGAUUACCCCCCACACUGGUACUGAGACACGGACCAGACUCCUACGGGAGGCAGCAGUGAGGAAUAUUGGUCAAUGGCCGGAAGGCUGAACCAGCCAUCCCGCGUGCAGGAUGACGGCCCUAUGGGUUGUAAACUGCUUUUGUACCUGAAGAAACCUGGUUACGUGUAGCCAGUUGCCGGUAAGGUAUGAAUAAGCAUCGGCUAACUCCGUGCCAGCAGCCGCGGUAAUACGGAGGAUGCAAGCGUUAUCCGGAUUCAUUGGGUUUAAAGGGUGCGCAGGUGGGGAAAUAAGUCAGUGGUGAAAUACUGCCGCUUAACGGUAGAAUUGCCAUUGAUACUGUUUUUCUUGAGUAUGGUUGAGGUAGGUGGAAUGUGUUGUGUAGCGGUGAAAUGCAUAGAUAUGACACAGAACGCCGAUUGCGAAGGCAGCUUACUAAGCCAUUACUGACGCUGAGGCACGAAAGCGUGGGGAUCGAACAGGAUUAGAUACCCUGGUAGUCCACGCCGU